rnacentral:rRNA from 1 species
GACGAAGGAUGCAAGCGUUAUCCGGAUUCAUUGGGUUUAAAGGGAGCGUAGGCGGCCUUAUAAGUCAGUGGUGAAAUCUCCGGGCUUAACCCGGAAACUGCCGUUGAUACUAUAUAUCUUGAAAUGCUGUGGAGGUAAGCAGAAUAUGUCAUGUAGCGGUGAAAUGCUUAGAGAUGACAUAGAAUACCUAUUGCGAAGGCAGCUUACUACGCAGAUAUUGACGCUCAUGCACGAAAGCGUGGGGAUCAAACAGG